rnacentral:rRNA from 1 species
GACAGAGGGGGCAAGCGUUGCUCGGAAUUACUGGGCGUAAAGGGCGCGUAGGCGGGAUGGCAAGUCGGUCGUGAAAUCCUUCGGCUCAACCGAAGAACGUCGAUCGAUACUGCUGUUCUUGAGGGUUGCAGAGGAGACUGGAAUUCCCGGUGUAGCGGUGAAAUGUGUAGAGAUCGGGAGGAACACCGGUGGCGAAGGCGGCAUCCUGGACCAACACUGACACUGAGGAGCGAAAGCCAGGGGAGCAAACGGG